AUUCUGUUUUUCAACCAACAAACCAAGUUACUGAAAACAUGUAUAAUUUUUAAAGGGAAUACAAAAUACAGUGUAGGGGUCACCUAUUUAACUUUCUUCACUUUGCUAAGCAAGGCUAAUAGCUAUACUAGCCGAGUAUAGAGAACCUAGAACAGACUGUGAACAAGUGCUUUGGUCUGUAAGCGAUCUGAAGUUUUAAAAUGUAUGAACAUACAGAGCUUCUGCUGUGGAAAGGAGAACCUCAUGUCAGUUUGAAGGUGCAAGAAAAACAGCAGUUGGUUUUGUGGCUAAUUAUAUACUUGUUCAAUUCAGAUGAGUUAUUUUGUUUAAUGACCAUCAGAGAUAAUACUGAGACUUGCUAAACUUGACAGAAGUAAUAGCAUUGGGAGAGCCUUAAAAAUACAAGUGCUUCUAAAAGAAACAAACAGUUGUAAUAAUUUUUAAUUUUUUUUUUGCCAAUCAGCACACAGUUUUAUCGCAGCAAUAAAGUCAUUCUCCAUGUCUCCAUCAGGCCUUGCUGCCUGUUGGCAAUAUUCCUGUCCAUUUCAUGGUAAUUUCAUCGGUUAUUAGCACUUGUCAAUAGCUUGUCCACCAUAAAUCUCACAUCUCCCAAACGCUGUCUGCUCACCAGAAUCAGUUUGCAGAUUUCUAAAAAUACCCUUCAGACCUCAGCUUCGUGUGGCUUCAGUUGCUGUUGGAUGAAGAACUAGACUUAAGUUGACUUGAGAUAACCGUGUUUGGUGUCUGCUGAUGCUUUUCCCCUCUCUUUUCUCAUGGAUGUGGAGAAGUGGAAGCAAUGCCUGUGUCAGUAUGUUCUUAAUCUUGGGAUUGAUUACUGAAAAACUUCUCUCCUAGUGUGAAGGUGCUGAUGUUAUUGAGAACUGUGGGAGCGUGCUUUUGGUUUAUAUCAGGCUCUUAACUUCACCUUAGUUGUUUCAGUUUGUGUCUCUUAAUGUGAGGUGCUGAUUUACUGUCCUGGUAUCACAAUGCAAUCACUGCACUGUCAGAUUCGUGCAUGAUUUUGAUCAGUUCUGAGAAAUAAAUAACAGAUAGGAGUUACCAGUGUGGUUAGACUGAAACGAUGUGCCUGAUUGUUAGAUAUCAGCUCCAGGUGGACCUCUUCAGGAUUUGUUGCAUUCCUCUAUGUUGUCAUUCACCUGUAAAGGGAAUCUGGGAGUGUUUAAUUGAAUGAGUUCUUACCAAUUCUCUAUCCAGCAUACGAUCUAGUCACUCAACUGGGGAAAAAACUGAGGACCAUGAGGAUGAGCUGCAGUGACCUGUGAUAGAAGAGUGUUUGGUGUAAGCAACCUAAAUCUUCAGGUUGUGAUACACACCAACAUGUAUACAUCUGCUUUGUAGAAAUGGAGUUGGAAUUCCAGAAUCUCAAGUGAUUUCUGGAUUGGAGAGAACACCCUGUUUUUUUUGAUACUUAAAAUGCAUAGUUUUGGGGAUGAUAGUUGGGCGCAUAGAAUUAACUGAAAAUUGGGUUGGAAUCAGAUUCUUUGUUUUCUGUGUUGCUUAAAACAUAGGAAGAAGGCCUGAAGUACUUUGCAAAAUGAUCUUCAGUAUCUGUAUGCUUCUCUGAAAUUUUCUCAGUUUUAAAUUUGGUGUGGAAUAAUUACUAACCAUCUUUACUAACAUCUUUACUUAGGAAUACUUCACUGAAUUCCUGACUGCGUAGGCACUUGUAGAACUUGUGGAGAUUUUGCUUAGGUAAGAGUAAUAAUAUGGAUUAAGAGCUGCAGUCAUGCUGAGCUGUAAUAAUUAUAACAAUAAAGAAAAAAAUGAAGUAAACUGAGAGUUAAACAGAAAGGCUCUGAAGAGCACAUCACUGCAGUUUCAGAUAGCUAUCACUAGGAGGACACACAGACCACGACAUCAAGGAGCUGCUUGUUUACCACCUCGUAUUAACUGGUUUGAUGCUAGUUUAUAAAAUCCAGAAAAGUACAUGGGGAAAAGUGGCUGAAUAAUUUGUAAUUUGUGGCUUCAGGUAUUGUUUUACUCAGAGUAGGGAGUUGUGUAACAGAAGAGAAAGGAGUAUGAGAACAUUUGGAAAUCUCUCGGUGCUUUGUCAUUGAAUCAGCAGAAUGCUGCUUCGUGUGCACAUAUGCCAGGCAGUAAUUGAUGACAUGUAGGUGGAAGCGAGCUUUUUUUAUUGGUUAUUGUCCAGUUGUCUGUGCAGUAAUUUCUAACACCUCUUUAUGUUACGGGCUUCUGCUGGGCAGGGUGCUGUGUAAGAUGGAGCACUGGCUGGGACUUGGCGCAUCGCUUCUUGUCGUCUCGGCUAACGUUUAACCUGUUUGUGGUCUCGCACGGUGUUUGCAGAUAGCUUUUCUUUUAGUUCUCUGUGCAUGUUUACUUAGAUUCUGAUGUACAGUGCCGGGAUAAGGAACAUGGAAAUGAGGCUCACUGAUGUAAUAGACUGUAGAGUGCCCGUGUUGCUGAGGCAAGCUGUUACCUAAUAAGGAUUUCAGAAUCUGACUCUUUCCGUAUAGGAUUGUUAUUGAUAUCACACAUGCAGACAAAGAUGAUAACUGAAGCAUAUGCUUUAAAUAAAAUGACACGAGAAAAUGAAAAAUGGUUUCAGACUUAAAAUUAGUGAAAGAUCCAUGGAAAUAACACCAGAUGGAGAGAAAAAGAAAGUAAGACAGAUUAUUAAUAAGUACAAUGUGCUACAGUUAGAUAGAAUAUAAUCUUGCAGGCUGCCAGUGCAUGAAAUUCAUUGUGACUUCUGUAAGAGUUGCUUUGUUACAUAAAGUGAAAAUACGCCGACUCUUCUGGAAUAAUACCUGGUAUUGCAAAUAGGAGCAGAGCCCAGUUUUAGGUAGUUCUGGAUUGUUACGACCCACUAAGUCUGGUUAGAACAGAACAGAGUUCUGAGAAAGAGGUGUUAUUUAUGGAAUUAUACAGUUUCACAUCUCUGGAUUCAUGUACUUAAUUUGCUUUGAGACAUUUUCCUCACUAUUGCAGCUGGUUUCUAUUGCUGAGUUUUGUAAGGUUCAGCAACACAAGCACUCUGCCUGCCUGCAGGAAAACUGAGGUCUGGGACUGUUGCAUGGAUGCUUUACUGAAACUUGUGAUUAAAUAAACCUGUUUGCUUCUUGCUCAUUCUGUGUUAAUCAUAAUUUGUUUUCAUGCAUUUGUGGUUCUUCAAGUAUUGCUUUGAUUCUGAACAGAGCUUGUUCUAUUUUCUUACUAGCAAUAUUUUUGUCCAUCCAUUUCUACUCUCCCAGCUAGCUGACUUCAUUAUUUUAUUGUGGGAAUCAGUCUUCUUUUGUACCACGAAAUCCUGGUGUGCUGCUCAGGCUCUUAAUGGUCAAAAAGCAGGAGCACAGCUGGCUUCCAUUUGUUACGUGUGCUGGCUCUGUGGAUAGGACUGGGCACUGUGCAGAUCUGUGGCUUUAGCCCCCUGGACCACGUGCAUCUUUAGAAUUUGAAUUGAAUUACAGGUUCAUCAAGGCAACUCUUCCGCAUCAGGUGACAUCUGGUUUUACCUGUCCAGCCUUCUCAUGCUGUCUGUAGGAUUUCUGUUGUAAAGAUCCUGCUCUAAAACUAAUCCAGGAUAUUCUAAAUAACAAUUGAAGUAAAAGUGGAAACUGCAUAAUAUUACUUACCUCAUUAGAGAUCCGUAGCAUUUUUGUUCUGGUUAUAAUUUUGGAAACAAAAUGUUAGGCCUUGAAAGUGGAGAUGAGGCCCUGCAUGAGAGCUGCUGAGUUCAGUGUGACCCACUGAUUGAGCACCUGGGGAAAGGAGCCGGUCAACCCUGGGAGCACAGGUGAAGGCAAUUCAGCUGUGACUGGAAGGGGCGGAGCCUGGCUUCACCUCUCUUAGACCUCAUUUAAGGGCUGACUGCCACUGAAGAAGGAUCUUUUUCUGGAGCCCUUCUCGGUGAAGCUUUCCCCUGAAAUCUAGAAUCUUCUGAUACAGGUGAGCAAUCUUCUUGCCUUCCUUUGUAGCAUCGCUCUGUCAUGCCAGUCUUUUUGUUGUCACACCUUUGUUGUAAUGCCUUUCCCACUGUAUUGAUCUAACUGCUACAGGCUGCUAUUAAGGAUUGAUCUAGCCAGAACAAAGACUUAAGGUCCAUUUAAUCUUAAUGGGGAGUGCGAGGACCAGGCCACAAGACUUCAUGAAUUGAAAAUGCUCGAAAGUUCUGUACUGCUUUUUGCCAAAAGUUGGGUGAAAGUGGUGUUUCCUGAAGAGUUGCAUUGGGCUAACUGAAUGAGGUUUUCACGACUGUUCUGUUGCUGUAACCACCAUGGAUGUGAAUGCUGUGGUGAUAAAGGCUUGCCGUUGUCUCAUUCUGGAUUCCUCAAAUCCAAGAGCUACUCAGCAGUUUCCAAGGCAACCACCUGUGGAAUAAUUAAAAAGGAUGAAGUGUUGGUGUGCCAGAUGCACGAAAUUCUUGCCUGGAGAGAGCACUUCGUUUUCAGCUGUUUCGAAUGUGAUUCUGCCAGCACAGUUCAGAGGAAGAAAUGAUGGCAGAGUUGUCAUACAAGCAUCCAGGGACAAUUCAAAAAGUGACUCAAAGCAGGAGGAGCAGAUGUCUGCGGCGUCCGCUGGUGACUGCAGCCUUAGGAGAUGAGUUUUGGAAUCCCCAUCAAAGUCAGGAUUAGGCUCAGGAUCCUCCAGCAGCGCCGAGCCCCGCUGGGGGAGUGCAGAGGAAGAGGAAACCAUUCACAGCGACUCAUCGUGUGGUUGGGUGAUUCAGGGGUCUGCUGGUGACAGUCACAGAGGCACGUGGCUCGCUGCACCGUCUUUGUCUGCUGUGCAGGAUGCAAACGGUCUCCGAACAUUAAUUCUGCCCUUUUGAUUUUUGUCCGGUGAAUUAUUUCCAGAAAGGAGUUACUGUGUUUUCUGGAAUGAGUGUUGUGAAAUUCUUUUCUUUACAGUGGGCGAGUUUUCAGCUGGUGAUUUAUCAACCAAGUAUUUUAUGGGAUCGCAGUUUAAGGCUCUUCUAUAAAAAAAAAAAUACCCGGUGUGAUAGGGAAAGUAAAAGUGUCUUGGUUCCCAAAUGAUGGAGGAAUAACCGAAAGAGCGAGUUCUUGGAAUAGUAGAUCCAUUGGCACUCGUUGGUGAUUUCCUGCGCGUUUGCUGAAAGAAGCACUUGGUGAUGUGAGUAGGUGGUACUAAAGGGUUAUUACGAAACCAAUUUCAACCAGACAUUUGAGUCAUGGAUUGGGAAGAAGGAGAGCAGCUUCCGAGCUUUCUCUUUGUUUGAGCUGAGCGCAUGAGAGGCACGGGCAGGAUAUUCUGUGUUGGUGUGGAGAAGGAUGGAGCGGGAGCAGGUCUGGCAUUUGGUGAUGCUCCCUUCCUCGUGCCACCGUGUGCUGCCAUGGGCAGUGAGGAUGUGGGCUGCAGGAGCUGGUGGCAGCAUGCAAGGUGCACGCGGAGCACUUCCCUGCCUGUGGCUCGAUUUGAAAACGUAAGUAAUUGCUCGUGGCUUCUCCCAGACGUGAGAGACAAAAUGGAGCUGUGUCAGGAUGAACGUCUGCGCCAGGGCAAGCUGGUUUGUUGGAGCUUGGUUCUGUUCUGCGAGCAGCUGAGCUGCCACUGGCAGCAGACAGUUGGCUUCUCCAUCAGGGAGAAAAAAACAGGGGGUGUUUAAGGGAAUUGGUUUGGCUCCUAAAACGAAGGAAUUGUUGACCUACUGACUCAGUUAUGAAGAAUCAGGGAAACGGUCUUAUUGUGGUUUCUUUUGUUGGUAGCAGAUUCAGAAGACAUCUGUGAGCAUACGGGUAGGACUAGCACAGGAGAGGUGCUUCUGGUACCUGCUGCAUGCUGCAUGGAUUUUGUGCCAGGAAGGAGCUGAGGUGCUGACUGCUCAGCAACACCUAAGCUUGAUUUCUGAUGCUUUUCCUGAUAAUGCAGUGGUGCUGAUCUUCUGUGAGUGCCUUCCCAGUGCCAAAGAAAGAACAUGUUUUUGAUGGAAAGCCUACUUUUAAAUGAGUACAAACAGAAAGUGUCACUCCUCAUGGGAGGGGUCAGGAAUACUUGAAUCUUCAGCUAGAAGAUCUUCUGCAGCCUGUUUAUCAGAUUGAGGACAACCCUUUCUCAUUCAUAAUGGAUUGUUCAGAAAAAAAAAGACAAUUGGACGUGGUAGAAGCUGUUUUUUUCCUAAGCGUGGCCCAAGGACAGCUGCAUCAGUACAACUGGAGGUGACAUGAACUGCAGCAUCAGAGGCACAGCAAGCACUGGAGGAUGUCCCAAUGUUAAGUGGUCUUGCUGUCAGCAAAAACCUGCUCUGGUACUGUAUCCCAGUUGGAUGGGUUUCACUGGAUGUAGAAAUAUUUAUUGAACUGUUCAUUUGUUUGUUUGUUUUUAAGGAUUAAUAUCUUGGGGUUUUGUGUUGUUUGGAUUUUUUUUUUUUUUUUUUUUUUGCUUGAGAUAAACCAUCUAUCUGAGAAAUAAGUCAGCUUUGUGGACAGCCAGUGGAUGUCAAUAAAGUCUUGGCAAACACAGUAGGUAUUUAUUCAGCCUUGCAAAUUAGAAACAUUUCUCCUGCUUGUUUUAUGAAGGGAACAAAAAAAGACAAAUUACAUAGCGGAUGAGCUCUCUUGAUAGUUGGAAUUCGUUUGUCUGGUGGUGAAAACGCUGGGGGAUUUAUGGUGCAGAAAAAUAAAAGAUGAAACAGCUUUUCACCAAUAGCAGUGCUUUAAGUUCUCAUUGAAAAUUACUGGGGAAAAAACCCUUUAAAGACAUCUGUAGCUGACUUCACAGUCUCAAUUACUGUCUUGGUAGGCAGUUCUUCCCUUCCUCACUGCAGUAAGUAUUAAUUGUUUUUUCAGCUGGCAAACAAUUCCUUUAUGGUUCCUUGGUCUUAUUGCCGUGGGGUAUCUGCAGCAACUCAUAAGUGAGAUACAUGGCCAAGUGUUGAGUAGGAAGUUCGCACUCCUGCUUCCCAUGCUAUAGCCGCUCUGUUAACAGAGGCUUUCUGCAAAGUUAUCAAUCUGUCAUCUUCUCUUGGCUUCACAUUUUAUUAAAAAAAGGAAUUUGAAAAGUUACAGUAAGUUGAGCAAUUUGUCAGACGUAAGUAACUUGAAGGCUAUUGUCUCCAAAUUACAGGCUGACUCGGUCUUGCAGCCUGUCAUGGAUGGAUCAUAAAAUUGUCAUAGAUAAAAGCUUUAACAAAAUCCGCUUAGGCAGCUCCUGUGAUGGCAGAACAUGGAAAGGAAGCAAUAACUGAAAGACCUGGUAAGCCUUUGGCUGCAGCUAAACCACUCGUAAGUCACUAGAAUUAUUCAACAGCAAAACAAAACCAGAGAAAACUCCAAACUUGCAGUGGUUUAAUCUCUGAUGUAGCUUCACUCGUGUAAGUAAUCUCACUGAUGUCAGAUAAGGCCUUGUGAAUUCUGUAAUAUUGAAGAUCAAACUGCUGAUGCUUUAUUUCCUCUGAAAGGGUACAGAAUAGUGUUUAUUUGUAACUACAGAAACAAUGAAACAAGAAGCUUGUUCAUUUCAAGUUUUUAUGCAAGUCUGUUAACUGAGCUGAGUUUGCUCUCUAUAUUUCCCAAGUUCCUGCUUUUCUACUAAGUAGAAUCAUCAGCAUGAAGGUGUUGUCUCCUCUGCUCCUCUUCUUCCUCUCCAUUUAAACAAAGAAAUUAUUGCUAGCAAAUGUGGAAGGAACAGAGAAGUCCAAGAUCUAAAGAUUCAUUAAAAAUGUACAGGGUCUGAUAGUUGAAGGAGCUAAUUAGGAGGCGUCUUGGAGAAUUAGCUUAGUUCUCUAUCUGUAGUUCAUUUGUUCUUCCAGUUUAGAAGAACAGUUUGCAGCCCUAAUGCAGGAGUGCUUCUCGCUGUCUGUGCUCUGGAACUGCACAUUGUUCUUACAUUUUUUGAAAGACACUUUCUUCAAAAGUACAGAUGUGUUCAGUGGAAGAGUCUGUCCUUUGGUUAGUCAUACUGAGACAUUGUGGUCUGCACCCAUUGUAGGAGUAGCAAUAAAUGCACAUACACACAUGCUGAACUUCAACUGCAAAUCCCUUGUACAUGGCACAUGUAACUGUGCAUGGACACACACUGCAACAGUUCAGCCUUGCCUCUGAGCAGGGAAGAUAACAGUUGUGAAGCCUUACUGCCUCCUUGUCUCACAGAUUGAUGCCAAAUUUGUUGGAUUUUCUCUCGAAGAUUUUCUGGGAGGGGAGUGCUUAAGCUGUCCUGCAAACAGAUAUUCCCUGGGAACUGCCUAUGCUCAUUUCAGAUUUCUCUCUUCCAUCUUCAGCCAUGUAGAAGCUCAGUUUCUAGGCUCAGCUAGUUGUUUAGCUUGUCGCUGUGGUAAAUGAAGAGUUACACACCUCUGGAGGUAAUUAACACAUGGAAAUAGAUGUAAUUAAUUACAUUUCUGACAUGAUUUCCUGCUGCCUGAAGAGAACAAUUUUAACACUACUUGGCUGUCCUCAGGAGACUGCGGAUGGGUUCAUCUCGGGUGAUGUUUGUAAUCAGCUGAAGUCAGCUUGCACAGAGCUGCCAGCAGCAGGCACAGAAUGUGCAGGUAUGACACUGCAGAAGGGAACAAGUACAGCCCUUAACUUCUUGAAUUAUACUGCAGCAGGGCAAAGUUUGAGGCUUUUUCAAGCCUUGAGGAAAUUGUCCACAGUGUUAAAGCAUCAGCAUUUCCUGCGCCCGCCAGAACAGUGUUGUUUUACAGCCACACAGGGCACAGCGGUUGCCUUCUAUCAUCAGAACAUGCUGUGCUGUUGUGCUGCUGCUGCUUUGGGUAAUUUGUUCUUGCUGAAGCUCUGUGAUGUGCUUAUGGAGUGCUUCGCAGAAUGUCACCGUGAGCGUGGCUGUGCCUCAUCUGUGCAAACACUGGGAGUUGUUUGACUUGAUUUCGUAGACUCGACUUGGGUAUGUUUGUUCUGCCAGCUGAAAUGAGACAUUGAAGACAGGUUAUAAAAAAUACAUCUGUUUGAAAAGAUUAAAUGGUUUAAAACACACUUGAGUAAUAGAGUUCCAAGAAAAAUCCUUGUGUCAGACUUCCUAGAAAUUGUGGUGGAACCAGGUGGUAAGUGCCAGCACUGAGCAGUUAAUUAAUGCAGCCCUCACAUUAGGUUUGGGCACACACCUCUAGCGUUACAAAUACCCACAAACGGUGGACCGGUCCAUCUUUGGGGCGAGUCAGCAUGCAGGGACUGAUACAUAGACUGUUUCACACGCUGUUAUUUCUGCUACUGCUGCUAAAAAUAAUGUGUUUCAGCAUUGAGCAGGAGGCAUUUCGCAUGGUGUUUUGCUGUCACUAGAGGGAGUUUGCAGCAGUGCUUCUCUUACUGACGUCCUCGGUGAUCUCGGUGCUGUGGGGAGACCUCGGCAGACACUGUGCCAGGACAACGGCAGUUCUGAAAGUAGGAUGAGGGUCCUUCUUCCUUCGGUACACCCUGGUACGUCUUGUAAUCUGGAUUAACAACAUUCUUCAGGGUAAUAGUGCUGUAAGCAGUUCUGUUUCUGUUGGUAGCGCUGUAAUAGAAAACAAAUGAGCAUUCGGUGACUCAAAGCAGAAUCAGGAAGUAAGAAAAAAGCAUUGAUUAUUUAAUAGGAAAAAACAAAGAUGGAAAAAACCACCAUGGAUAGAUACUCUUCUGAUUUAUUGUUACAGGAAUAUGGUCUUGGCUAGAAACAAGC